rnacentral:rRNA from 1 species
CCUACGGGUGGCAGCAGUGGGGAAUAUUGCACAAUGGGGGAAACCCUGAUGCAGCGACGCCGCGUGAGUGAAGAAGUAAUUCGUUACGUAAAGCUCUAUCAGCAGGGAAGAAACACUGACCUUACGGUCAGCAGACGGUACCUGAGUAAGAAGCCCCGGCUAACUACGUGCCAGCAGCCGCGGUAAUACGUAGGGGGCAAGCGUUAUCCGGAUUUACUGGGUGUAAAGGGAGCGUAGACGGCAUGGCAAGUCUGAAGUGAAAGCCCGGGGCUCAACCGCGGGACUGCUUUGGAAACUGUUAAGCUGGAGUGCAGGAGAGGUAAGUGGAAUUCCUAGUGUAGCGGUGAAAUGCGUAGAUAUUAGGAGGAACACCAGUGGCGAAGGCGGCUUACUGGACUGUAACUGACGUUGAGGCUCGAAAGCGUGGGGAGCAAACAGGAUUAGAUACCCCUGUAGUC